UUUGGAUGGUGGUGCUCCUGGUUGAGGAAUGGAAGUGGCAAGAAAAUGAAGUGUGCAAGUGGUCACCAGUUGUUAAGAGAGACGAGAGGCCUCUGGCAUGGGAAAAUACACAGCUUAGUCCCGUGAUUACAAAGAAUUGCAUUCUGCCAAGGACCUGAAUGAGCCAUGAACUUGAUUCUCCCCAAAAGCUUCAGCAGAACCAAGAUCUUUAUAUGAGCCAGGCUGAGGAGACAAAGUCUGGGAUUUGUAGUUAUCAAGUGGUAAUUGGAGAAGAGGACACAUGAAGAGGAAUCAGAUGCAAUGAAAGGGAACAGCGGAGCUGAUAUAUAACAAAGUACACUGGACCUGGUUUCUGCAUUCCAGUAUGCAUAGGAUUCAGAACACUAAAGAAGGACAUGGGAACCAGGAGGAUGGCUCAGCUCAUGACCAUGAGUGAUGUGCAAGUCCAAUGAUCCAAGUUUAGUUCCUGGAACUCACAGGAGAAAAAGAUCAUGGAGCUGCAGUCCUGAAAGUGGAGAUGACGUCAUGACUAGUAUGUCCAACUCUAAUCUUUCAGAGUACCCAACCUCAACAACUGCAUCUUCCUGCGCUAGCCAUGACC
rnacentral:lncRNA from 1 species